rnacentral:rRNA from 1 species
UACGUAGGGUGCAAGCGUUGUCCGGAAUUACUGGGCGUAAAGCGUGCGCAGGCGGUGAUGUAAGACAGUUGUGAAAUCCCCGGGCUCAACCUGGGAACUGCAUCUGUGACUGCAUCGCUGGAGUGCGGCAGAGGGGGAUGGAAUUCCGCGUGUAGCAGUGAAAUGCGUAGAUAUGCGGAGGAACACCGAUGGCGAAGGCAAUCCCCUGGGCCUGCACUGACGCUCAUGCACGAAAGCGUGGGGAGCAAACAGG